UUUGUUUAUAUUUUAGGCUCUGUUUGUUUGUUGAGCCUGCUAUUAAUCCUCUAUUUAAGCUAUAUUUUAUCUGUGUGAGAAUAUUGGGCUGAGAAGCUCAUACACAAGUAUUUGAAGGAAUAUAGCACAGUGGUUACAUACUGUGUCCUGGAAUUGAACUAUCUCUUAGCAACAUGACUUUGAAAGAGACCUCUGUGUUUGAUUGAGCAAGAAAGGUUUUUUGUUUUAAUCAGACCAUAUAUUUUUCCCUGGGUGUUAUUUCAGCUGUCUCUUAGCUUCGGACUUCACACUCUCAGGAGGAAUGAAUCUUUGUCUUAGCACU